rnacentral:lncRNA from 1 species
GAUUGACCAGGGCAAGACGGGGGCAGGGAGCUGGUGAGAUGACGAAGCAAGAGGAGCAGAUGGAUGGGGGCUUAGGGCAUAGAGCAGAUGGGACCUGGUAACCUGGUUAGAUGCCGCCGUGACAGAGGCAAAGGGUCAGGAUGUCUGAGGCAGCCGGGAGGGUAGCUGAGACAGCACAUGGGUGCGGGAGAUGGGGUCCAGGAAAGGGCUGAGUGCAGCUUUGGACCUGGAGCCCUGGGUGGCAGGCUGAGGGGGACCCCGAUAGAGCUGGUCCUUAAAGCUGCGGGAAGGGGUGACGUCACUCAGGAAGCCCAUGGAGCCCCGAGGAGCAUCACUGUUAGAGGAAGGAAUGGAGGCUGAGACAGGACUGCAGUGGUCGGCGGGCAGCAGCGGGUGAGUGAGGCCGAGAGCCGUGUCCAAGAUUUCCGGGAGGUUGGCACUGGCCGCCACUGCCGGGUGUUCCUCAGGCGCCUGCCCUGACCCCCCACCUCGUUCUGGGUGUGCACAGCUCUCCCUAUUGCUUCAUCAUACCUUCAGCCACCUGCCUAUCCUCCUAUCCACCCACCCAUCAUGUUUUUGGAUGCAUUUCAAAGUAAGUUCCAGACAUCGUAACACAUCCCCCGAAUCCUGCAGCAUGUGUAUCAUUCACCAGAGUUCAGUAUUUAUUUACAUUCCUUUUUUUUUUUUGAUGGACCUUCCAUAUCGUGAAAUGCACAAAUCUUACACAGACACUCACUGAGUUUUGAGAACCGCGUCCAUCUAUGUAACCCAAACCCCGGUCAACAUAGAGAACAGAAGGUUCCCGGGUGUCCCCCUUCCUGGUCAGUCCCUGCCCUCGCCCACCCCUGGCAACCACUCCUGAUCGUUUCCUUCUCAAAUGACUUCUGCACGCAUGCCGGCGCAGGUACCAGCAGUUCACGCCUCUCACCGCGUGUGGCGCUCCAGCGGCUGGAUGAACCACAGACGUCGUUCACGUGCCUGCUGAGGGACGUUUGUGCCAUCUCCACUUCAGGGUAUUAUGAAUAAAGCUGCUAUACAUAUUUGUGUGUAGGUGGCAGUGUGAACACAGAUGUUCUCUGGGCCCCAGCAUAUAGUUGUAUAUCCUAGUUGUAGGUCCUUCUAGUUCUUCUGCGUGGGAUGCCGCCACAGCUCGGCUUGAUGAACGGUGCUAGAUCCACACCCAGGAUACAAACUGGCAAACUCCGGGCUGCCAAAGUGGAGUGCGCAAACUUAACCGCUAUGCCACGGGGGUGGCCCCUGUCACUUUGAUUACCAUAACAACCUGGUGCCCCGGGCAGGAUGCUGGAAUCGGAUGAGUUCAGGUGUCUCCAUCAAACCCCAAGACGGUGCUGGCCCACAACUCCUCCUCAAGUUCAGCAAAAAAAAUACCAGGCAAGUGUUCGGCUAGAUUUACUAUUGAACCGACAAAUCGAGCGUCGUCUCGUUUAAUCCAGGACAUCCUGAAGCCUCCCCACGUUUAGGGGAAUUCCUCGUCUGGGCAGCCUUGGCCCUGAAGGAGACUUGGCUCCCACUUCAAACACUGACAACCACAUCUUUACUUUCCCACGCCCCUGGCAUGUGAGCUGGGCUUGGCCAAUCAGAUGCUUCCCUGAGGGAAUUUGAUGGCGGCGCUGAGAAGCAGGAACAGAGAGAGGGGAGUCUGUCUGGGUGGUGCUGGGUCAGACAUACAGCUUAGUGGUGGAGUGGUUAGCUCCGGAAAGGGGAUUUGAGCUGUGGUCUUCCUUGAUUCUCCAGCCUUCCUGCGACUCUGAAGACUUCCCAAUAUCUUUCCAGUAAGCUAAUUUUCUGUUUGAAUUAGUCAGCAUUAACAGGGAUGCCAUGUACAGUUGGAAAGGUUGUAGACUGCUCAAAAGCAAUUGCGUGGGCAAGUGUGGAUAGAAAUCCGGCUUCUGUUAGGCUCAGCAAGCCCUGUGCCCUCACAUGGGGCUGUGUCUACCUGGAGGGACCCUGCUCCUCUGGGUCCUCAGGAAGGUGAGGAAGAAUAUACUGUGGGCAGGGCCUGGAGAGAAUGUGUCGUCUCCUCUUCCUGAUGGCUCCUCCUGAUGGUCCCACCUUCUCACUGCAGACCCUCCCCAGGGUCAGGCGACCUGUUACAAGAGAAGAAGCCUGGAAACAAACAAUAGACUCUAAUUCUGGCUCAGAAAUUUGAGGGGGAGCCUGGAGAACAAGGUUUAGAAAAUGGGCCGGCCCCACGGGGACCAGGGGGUAGGAGCCCUUGUCAGGGGGCCUCAGGGAAGGCCACAUCCAGGUUGGGGAGGCGGAGGCGCCCGUCUGGCCUGGGUGCCGGGGUGACGGGGUGAGCAGACCUCUGACCUCUGACCCUCCCGCUUCCCACCAGGACUCAUGCAGCCGAGUGCAGGCCGGACACAGCCAGCGGCUCAGAAACUGGGCGCCUCCGCAGAGCUCACCCAGGGUGCUCGGGGCGGCUGGCCCUGCCAUGGCCCCCGACUCUUUCCCUCUUUCUCUGGCCUCAUGGUUCUCACCUCCCAACGACCACGCUUUCUCGCUCCUAUAAUCCGCCCACUUCCAGCCCGGCCUGUCAGAAUUGCCUUGGGAAUUUUUACCACGUGCCAUUGCUGUGCUCGCUUUAGAGUCGAUUAUCGGGCUGUGCCUUCUUGUUUAUGGACUGGCCCAGUGGUGUAGUGGUUAAAGUUCACUCUUUCCACUUUGACGGCCUGGGUUUCACUGGUUUGGAUCCUGGGCGUGGGUCUACACACUGCUGUGUACAAGCCAUGCUGUGGUGGCAUCCCACAUACAAAAUAGAGGAAGAUGGGCACGGAUAUUAGUUCAGCAACAAUCUUCCUCAGCAAAAAAAAAAAAAAAGUAUUCAAAAAAUUUUUUUGAUUGAGAUAUACUUGACGUAUAACAUUGUGUAAGUUUAAGGUGUACAACAUGAAGAUUUGAUACACAUUGAUAUCUCUAUGUAUAUGUACACAAUUAUAU